rnacentral:RNase_P_RNA from 1 species
CGAGUAAGACAGACAGUCGCGCGGCCAGGCCGAAAGGCCGGUCGUGAGGAAAGUCCGGGCUCCACAGGGCAAGGAUAACGGGUAACGCCCGCCGAAGGCGACUUCAGGAAAAGUGCAACAGAGAUAUACCGCCGACAGAGUUACUCUGUAUCGGUCAGGGAACCAGCGACGGCUGAACGCGAUGCCCGCGGAGCGGGGCGAGGGAAACUUCCCCGAACAGCGCAAUCGCUUCCGCGCGGAACGGCGCAGGGGUGUUGUGUGAAGAGGGACGAAGGGUCCCUCUUCCUAAUUGCAAUCAGCCCGCCGCAGCGGCCGCUCCCGCGGGGAGCGGCAAGCCACCCUUACCGACAGAGAGUAGCUCUGUCGGUAAGGGUGGAAAGGCGAGGUAAGAGCUCACCCAUCGGCUGGAGACUGUCCGAUGCUGUAAACUCUAUCCGGAGCAACACCGGUAUGGGAGCAGGGGGUCCGACCCUCAAGGCUGGCCCGGCCGCUCCCGGGGUGGCUGGAGCGUACCGGCGACGGUACGUCGAGAUAGAUGACUGUUUGAUACAGAACCCGGCUUACAGUCUUGCUCGUACA